GAAACUGAUUCAAGUCGUGGAUUUGGGUUCGUGACUAUGAGUACCGUUGAGGAAGCAGAGCAGGCUGUGGAGACGUUUCACCGCUAUGAUUUAAAUGGAAGACUCUUGACUGUAAACAAGGCUGCUCCUCGAGGAUCAAGGCCUGAACGUCCCCCUCGUGUUUAUGAAUCUGCUUAUAGAAUCUAUGUGGGUAACUUGCCAUGGGAUGUAGAUGAUGCUCACUUGGAGCAAGUUUUUAGUGAACAUGGUA
rnacentral:misc_RNA from 1 species